AAUCAACGCUGGCGGCGUGCCUCAGACAUGCAAGUCGAACGAUUAAAGCUCCCUUCGGGGAGUGCAUAAAGUGGCGCACGGGUGAGUAACACGUAAGUAAUCUACCCUCGGGUGGGAAUAACAUCGGGAAACCGAUGCUAAUACCGCAUAAUGCAGCGGCACCGCAAGGUGACAGUUGUUAAAGAUUUAUUGCCUGGGGAGGAGCUUGCGGCAGAUUAGCUUGUUGGUAAGGAACGGUCUUACCAAGGCUACGAUCUGUAUCCGGUCUAAGAGGACGGUCGGUCACACUGACACUGAAUAACGGGUCAGACUCCUACGGGAGGCAGCAGUCGGGAAUUUUGGGCAAUGGGCGAAAGCCUGACCCAGCAACGCCGCGU
rnacentral:rRNA from 1 species